rnacentral:rRNA from 1 species
UACGGAGGGUGCAAGCGUUGUCCGGAAUCACUGGGCGUAAAGGGCGCGUAGGCGGCUCAUGAAGGCUGUGGUGAAAGUCCGGGGCUCAACCUCGGAUCGGCCGUGGCGACUCGUGGGCUGGAGCACUGUAGAGGCGGGUGGAAUUCCGGGUGUAGCGGUGGAAUGCGUAGAGAUCCGGAGGAACACCAAAGGCGAAGGCAGUGUCCUGGGGAGUACCUGACGCUCAGGUGCGAAAGCCAGGGGAGCGAACGGG